NUGCUUGCUUUGGCAGCACGUAUAUUAAGAUUGGAAGGAUACAGAAAAGAUUAGCAUGGCCCCUGUGCAAAGAUGACAUGCAAAUUUAUGAAGUGUUCCAUAUUUUU
rnacentral:snRNA from 1 species